rnacentral:rRNA from 1 species
AUGCAAGUAGAACGCUGAAGCUUGGUGCUUGCACCGAGCGGAUGAGUUGCGAACGGGUGAGUAACGCGUAGGUAACCUGCCUGGUAGCGGGGGAUAACUAUUGGAAACGAUAGCUAAUACCGCAUAACAGUAGAUGUUGCAUGACAUUUGCUUAAAAGGUGCAAUUGCAUCACUACCAGAUGGACCUGCGUUGUAUUAGCUAGUUGGUGGGGUAACGGCUCACCAAGGCGACGAUACAUAGCCGACCUGAGAGGGUGAUCGGCCACACUGGGACUGAGACACGGCCCAGACUCCUACGGGAGGCAGCAGUAGGGAAUCUUCGGCAAUGGACGGAAGUCUGACCGAGCAACGCCGCGUGAGUGAAGAAGGUUUUCGGAUCGUAAAGCUCUGUUGUAAGAGAAGAACGAGUGUGAGAGUGGAAAGUUCACACUGUGACGGUAUCUUACCAGAAAGGGACGGCUAACUACGUGCCAGCAGCCGCGGUAAUACGUAGGUCCCGAGCGUUGUCCGGAUUUAUUGGGCGUAAAGCGAGCGCAGGCGGUUAGAUAAGUCUGAAGUUAAAGGCUGUGGCUUAA